AUUACUUAAAAAGUGUUUAUCAGAUCUCGAUAAAAUUUAUAUGUGACCACAUGAUAAACAUCAGCUUUCGAUUAAAUUAAAAAUUAUCAAAAUCGGUACACCCAGUAAAAAGUUAUUACGGAUAUUCGAGAAUUUCCCUCGAUUUCUGUGGGAUCCCAUCAUCAGAUCCUGGUUUCCUUAUCAUGGUACCAAAGUAGGGAUAUCCCCUUUCCAACAAAAAAAGAAUUAUCAAAAUCCGUACAUCCAGUAGAAAGUUAUGCGGUAUAAUACAACGUAGGUCGACGAAAAAAGCGUCAAGUAAAA
rnacentral:misc_RNA from 1 species